UUGCUUUCGCAGCACAUACACUAAAAUUGGAACGACACAGAGAAGAUAAGCAUGGCCCCAGCGCCAGGAUGACAUGCAAAUUCGUGAAGCGUUCCAUAUGUCA